UAGCUGUGAUGGUCCAAGUGGGAGACCCGCUGCAUCCGCCGCGUGUCUGUGGCUCUGGGGCCAUCUCAUCCCCGAAACAGCGAGAGGUGCCUGGUUCGAAUCCCCGGGUCGCGGCAGACUCUCGGCCAAUGGAGCCGAGCCACACUCGGCUGUGUCGGCCGGGGGAGUCUCCUCCCCACACUCGUGCGAGUAAUCCACGAUCUGCUGUGGCGCGCUAAGCCCUGGCCCGGACCCUCGAGGGAAGCGAUUCUGCAGAGAACAGGCCCCCCGGAGAUGGCGGCGCCAGACUACACCCUCGCUGCACAGUGCCCAAGGCGGACUGGCAGGUCGACUUUUU
rnacentral:SRP_RNA from 15 species